rnacentral:rRNA from 1 species
GUAGUUAUUACAUUACUUUCCGCCAGAGAACUACAAGUGAAAAACUUGAAACUCAAAGGACUUGACGGUGUCCCAUAUCGACCUAGAGGAGCCUGUCCUAUAAUCGAUACCCCCCGUUCCACCCGACCUCAACUAGCAAAAUAUCAGCCUAUAUACCGCCGUCGACAGUCUACCCCAUGAGGGCUCAACAGUAGACACAACAGCCUUAACGCUAAUACGUCAGGUCAAGGUGUAGCAAAUGUUGAGGAAAAGAUUGGCUACAUUUUUUAUGAUAAAAAACACGAAUUGCACUAUGAAACACUGCAUGAAGGUGAAUUUAGUAGUAAAACAGACAAGAGUGUCUGUUUUAACAACGCUCUGGGACGCGU